rnacentral:rRNA from 1 species
GUGCCAGCCGCCGCGGUAAUACAGAGGGUGCGAGCGUUAAUCGAAGUUACUGGGCGUAAAGGGCGCGUAGGCGGUUAUGAAAGUGUGAUGUGAAAGCCCUGGGCUUAACCUGGGAAGUGCAUCGCGGACUAUAUAACUGGAGUAUAUGAGAGGGUGGCGGAAUUUCCGGUGUAGCGGUGAAAUGCGUAGAGAUCGGAAGGAACGUCAAUGGCGAAGGCAGCCACCUGGCAUAAUACUGACGCUGAGGCGCGAAAGCGUGGGGAGCGAACAGGAUUAGAAACCCCCGUAGUCC